AACGAACGCUGGCGGCAGGCUUAACACAUGCAAGUCGAGCGGUAAGGCCCUUUCGGGGGUACACGAGCGGCGAACGGGUGAGUAACACGUGGGUGACCUGCCCUCAGCUCUGGGAUAAGCCUGGGAAACCGGGUCUAAUACCGGAUAUGACUCCAUGACGCAUGUUGUGGGGUGGAAAGCCUUGUGCGGCUGAGGAUGGGCCCGCGGCCUAUCAGCUUGUUGGUGGGGUGAGGCCUACCAAGGCGACGACGGGUAGCCGGCCUGAGAGGGCGACCGGCCACACUGGGACUGAGACACGGCCCAGACUCCUACGGGAGGCAGCAGUGGGGAAUCUUGCGCAAUGGGCGAAAGCCUGACGCAGCGACGCCGCGUGAGGGAUGACGGCCU
rnacentral:rRNA from 1 species